UAGCACUGGUCAAAAGAGCCUCGAUUUUUGAAGUAUGCAUCCAAGUAUGCUGUUUUUGUUAAUACUCUAGCCUAAUACUAAUUAUGCUAGAUGAUUAGUUUGUGCACUUCUGUUUUAUGAUUGGGUCUUAAGCAUUUUUGGGGGGGGGUAAUUUUAUGAUGCUAUAAUGUGACCAAUAUGUGUGCAGUGCGGUGCAUACAUUUCAUACUUAGUAUAAAUAUACAAAUUCUGAAUCAUAUUGUUAUUUAUAAUUACAUUUGUCAUAAACAACUAUCUGCUUCUUGUCUGUUCUUUGCCUUCAGCUCAUACACGUCAAGCCUUUCACAAUGUCAACUCAAAGCAUAAUGACACGGUAUGUCACUGAGAACACAGGGUGAUCUUUGUGUCCUGCUGGGCAAUUCUGCAGUUCAGUGGGCUUGAACAGACCAUCCGGACCCUGCCAGGAGGGAUUCUACUGUCCUGCUGGGGCAUCAUCAUCCACAGAUGUGACCAUUUAACCAUGUUUGUUAACUUGAUGGCAUCAUUAGUUCAUCCUAUGUUUGUAUUCCACUACUGGCUGUGGUAUUAUGGUUUAUACAGGUUCUGUCUCUGUCCUCAAGCACACUUCUGCGCCGCAGGCAGUGCUGUGCCUGCUCCCUGCCCUGCGGGCACCCAUACCAACCUAACAGGACAGAUUAAGUGCAGUCCCUGCCUUGGUGGAUACUACUAUAAUAUAUCGGAACAAAGCAUGCCACCCAGUUCCCUUGCCCACGAGGCUAUUACAACCCCGAGCCGAUGACCCACAGCCUGGACAGCUGCCUGCCCUCACCUCCAGGCCACUGCUGUGAGAAAGAGUGCCUGUCCACUGUGUCUGGGAAAUGUAAAGCUGCCCUUUGACCUGGACAACUACACUAAUGCUAACUGCCCUGCUUCCUCCACUGGGGGCAGAGUCUCUGAGUCUCUGUCUUGCCCUCCAGGAGCUUUCUGAAGAAGUCAACCAGUCUGGCCCUGCUGAGUGGACCGUGCUCUCCUGGAUAUUACUGCACAAAGGAAGCCACUUCAUCCAGGCCUACAGAUGGUCACUGGCAGUAUCUGCCCUCCAGGAACUUACUGUGAGAGGGCUCCAGUGCACCACAGCCAUGUCCAGUGGGGAUUUUCUCCCCAGCAGCGGGCCUCAUGAGCAAGGAUGAGUGUCAGCCCUGUAGAGCGGGUUACUACUGUGCUAUCCCAGGCCUUCAAGCUCCUACUGCACCCUGCAUGCAGGGUUGGCCAGACAGAUGACCUAGCUCUGCCAUGUCUGGUCAGUCAUUACUGUCCCCCAGGAAGCCCUGUCCCAAUUCUUUGUCCAACUGGGACAUAUCAGGACAAGCAGAAGCAGGCGAACUGAACAAUCUUUGAAUCAG